GACGAACGCUGGCGGCGUGCCUAACACAUGCAAGUCGAGCGGUAGCACAGAGAGCUUGCUCUCGGGUGACGAGCGGCGGACGGGUGAGUAAUGUCUGGGAAACUGCCUGAUGGAGGGGGAUAACUACUGGAAACGGUAGCUAAUACCGCAUAACGUCGCAAGACCAAAGUGGGGGACCUUCGGGCCUCAUGCCAUCAGAUGUGCCCAGAUGGGAUUAGCUAGUAGGUGGGGUAACGGCUCACCUAGGCGACGAUCCCUAGCUGGUCUGAGAGGAUGACCAGCCACACUGGAACUGAGACACGGUCCAG
rnacentral:rRNA from 1 species